rnacentral:rRNA from 1 species
AUUGAACGCUGGCGGCAUGCUUUACACAUGCAAGUCGAACGAGUGGCGAACGGGGGAGUAAUAUAUCGGAACGUACCGAGUAAUGGGGGAUAACCAAUCGAAAGAUUUGCUAAUACCGCAUAUUAUUCGAGCGGCCGAUAACUGAUUAGCUAGUUGGUGGGGUAAAGGCCUACCAAGGCGACGAUCAGUAGCGGGUCUGAGAGGACGGUCCGCCACACUGGGACUGGGACCGGGCCCAGACCCCUACGGGAGGCAGAAGUGGGAGAUUUUGGACAAUGGGGGAAACCCUGAUCGACCCAUGGCGCGUGUAGGAAGAAGGCCUUCGGGUUGUAAAGUACUUUUGUUAGGGAAGCGGUACCUGAAGAAUAAGCACCGGCUAACUACGUGCCAGCAGCCGCGGUAAUUC